GCUGGAAGGUUAAGGGGAUCUGUUAGAGCAAUCGAAGCAGUGAACUUAAGCCCCAGUAAACGGCGGCCGUAACUAUAACGGUCCUAAGGGAGCGAAAUUCCUUGUCGGGUAAGUUCCGACCCGCACGAAAGGCGUAACGAUUUGGGCACUGUCUCAACAACAGACUCGGUGAAAUUGUAAUUCCGGUGAAGAUGCCGGAUACCUGCGACAGGACGGAAAGACCCCAUGGAGCUUUACUGUAGCUUGACAUUGGGUCUUGGUACUACAUGUACAGGAUAGG
rnacentral:rRNA from 1 species